CAAUGCGCAGGUUGCAAAGUUGCCGGACGACCAGGAAUUUUCGAACAAAUAUUUCUUUGAUGUUCUUGCUAAACGAGGCAUUAUCUACAAGAUUGACACCAUUGCAACCCAGUUAACAACGGAUAGGUGGAAUUCUUUGGAUGACAUAUUUAACGUGUACAACGACAACUUGCCCAUACCAUACGGCGUUAAGAACUAGCGGAGUGACGAAGCGUUUGCCAGCCAAAGGUUGACCGGUUGCAACCCUUGUCAAAUUCGCCUCUGUACGGAUAUCCCAGCAAAGU